rnacentral:rRNA from 1 species
UACGUAGGGUGCGAGCGUUGUCCGGAAUUAUUGGGCGUAAAGAGCUCGUAGGCGGUUUGUCGCGUCGACUGUGAAAACCUACAGCUUAACUGUGGGCUUGCAGUCGAUACGGGCAGGCUAGAGUUCGGCAGGGGAGACUGGAAUUCCUGGUGUAGCGGUGAAAUGCGUAGAUAUCUGGAGGAACACCGGUGGCGAAGGCGGCAUCCUGGACCGGUAUUGACGCUGAUGCGCGAAAGCCAGGGGAGCAAACGGG